UCGUAGCUGGUUCCCAGUCGGGCUC
rnacentral:piRNA from 1 species